AUACUUGCCUCAGCCGGAUACCAAUCUUACGAAACGAAAGUAGGCCUAUACUCCGGAUCAAUCAGAAAGUGGUUUUGUUAGAAACGAAAGAUUUGGAUACCAAUCAGCUAACCAACAUAUACCUACGCGAAUGUGAAUUGUUUCAUGAAGCCAACAAAAUUAACAGCGAAUCAUUAGUGUUGCACUUCAAGCAGGAGUAGUGAAAACAUGUCAACUUUAUUGGAUAGAUGUUGGUAUAAAAUAAAGACACCAAGACUUCUCAUUGCAUGGAUCCUGUUGUGUAGUGUAUUUUCUGCUAAACAAGCCAGAUUAUCAACUGAUG